rnacentral:tmRNA from 1 species
GGGGCUGAUUCUGGAUUCGACGGGAUUUGCGAAACCCAAGGUGCAUGCCGAGGGGCGGUUGGCCUCGUAAAAAGCCGCAAAAAAUAGUCGCAAACGACGAAAACUACGCUUUAGCAGCUUAAUAACCUGCUUAGAAGCCUCUCUCCCUAGCCUCCGCUCUUAGGACGGGGAUCAAGAGAGGUCAAACCCAAAAGAGAUCGCGUGGAAGCCCUGCCUGGGGUUGAAGCGUUAAAACUUAAUCAGGCUAGUUUGUUAGUGGCGUGUCCGUCCGCAGCUGGCAAGCGAAUGUAAAGACUGACUAAGCAUGUAGUACCGAGGACGUAGGAAUUUCGGACGCGGGUUCAACUCCCGCCAGCUCCACCA